UACGUAGGGUGCGAGCGUUAAUCGGAAUUACUGGGCGUAAAGCGUGCGCAGGCGGUUCGUUGUGUCCGAUGUGAAAGCCCCGGGCUAACCUGGGAAUGGCAUUGGAAACUGGCGAGCUUGAGUGCGGCAGAGGGGGGGUGGAAUUCCGCGUGUAGCAGUGAAAUGCGUAGAGAUGCGGAGGAACACCGAUGGCGAAGGCAGCCCCCCUGGGUCGACACUGACGCUCAGGCACGAAAGCGUGGGGGAGCAAACAGGAUUAGAAACCCC
rnacentral:rRNA from 1 species